CCGGUAUGAUGAGCGAAGUUCUGCUACUGAAGUUUCGAGUCGACAACCCAAAAUACCAAAACCUUCUGAGUU
rnacentral:snoRNA from 1 species